AGCCUGAUGCAGCGACGCCGCGUGAGGGAUGACGGCCUUCGGGUUGUAAACCUCUUUCAGCAGGGAAGAAGCGAAAGUGACGGUACCUGCAGAAGAAGCACCGGCUAACUACGUGCCAGCAGCCGCGGUAAUACGUAGGGUGCGAGCGUUGUCCGGAAUUAUUGGGCGUAAAGAGCUUGUAGGCGGUUUGUCGCGUCUGCCGUGAAAAUCCGGGGCUCAACCCCGGACUUGCGGUGGGUACGGGCAGACUAGAGUGUGGUAGGGGAGACUGGAAUUCCUGGUGUAGCGGUGAAAUGCGCAGAUAUCAGGAGGAACACCGAUGGCGAAGGCAGGUCUCUGGGCCACUACUGACGCUGAGAAGCGAAAGCAUGGGGAGCGAACAGGAUUAGAUACCCUGGUAGUCCAUGCCGUAAACGUUGGGCGCUAGGUGUGGGACUCAUUCCACGAGUUCCGUGCCGCAGCUAACGCAUUAAGCGCCCCGCCUGGGGAGUACGGCCG
rnacentral:rRNA from 1 species